GAAGAAAGAGGGAGGCGUGCUUAACACAUGCAAGUCGAACGAAGAGCGAUGGAAGCUUGCUUCUAUCAAUCUUAGUGGCGAACGGGUGAGUAACGCGUAAUCAACCUGCCCUUCAGAGGGGGACAACAGUUGGAAACGACUGCUAAUACCGCAUACGAUCUAAUCUCGGCAUCGAGGAUAGAUGAAAGGUGGCCUCUACAUGUAAGCUAUCACUGAAGGAGGGGAUUGCGUCUGAUUAGCUAGUUGGAGGGGUAACGGCCCACCAAGGCGAUGAUCAGUAGCCGGUCUGAGAGGAUGAACGGCCACAUUGGGACUGAGACACGGCCCAGACUCCUACGGGAGGCAGCAGUGGGGAAUCUUCCGCAAUGGACGAAAGUCUGACGGAGCAACGCCGCGUGAGUGAUGACGGCCUUCGGGUUGUAAAGCUCUGUUAAUCGGGACGAAAGGCCUUCUUGCGAAUAGGGAGAAGGAUUGACGGUACCGGAAUAGAAAGCCACGGCUAACUACGUG
rnacentral:rRNA from 1 species